rnacentral:rRNA from 1 species
UCUUGGUCAAUUAGAGGAAGUAAAAGUCGUAACAAGGUCUCCGUUGGUGAACCAGCGGAGGGAUCAUUACUGAGUUUACGCUCUAUAACCCUUUGUGAACAUACCUAUAACUGUUGCUUCGGCGGGUAGGGUCUCCGCGACCCUCCCGGCCUCCCGCCUCCGGGCGGGUCGGCGCCCGCCGGAGGAUAACCAAACUCUGAUUUAACGACGUUUCUUCUGAGUGGUACAAGCAAAUAAUCAAAACUUUUAACAACGGAUCUCUUGGUUCUGGCAUCGAUGAAGAACGCAGCGAAAUGCGAUAAGUAAUGUGAAUUGCAGAAUUCAGUGAAUCAUCGAAUCUUUGAACGCACAUUGCGCCCGCCAGCAUUCUGGCGGGCAUGCCUGUUCGAGCGUCAUUUCAACCCUCAAGCUCUGCUUGGUGUUGGGGCCCUACAGCUGAUGUAGGCCCUCAAAGGUAGUGGCGGACCCUCCCGGAGCCUCCUUUGCGUAGUAACUUUACGUCUCGCACUGGGAUCCGGAGGGACUCUUGCCGUAAAACCCCCCAAUUUUCCAAAGGUUGACCUCGGAUCAGGUAGGAAUACCCGCUGAACUUAAGCAUAUCAAUAA